GACGAACGCUGGCGGCGUGCCUAAUACAUGCAAGUCGAGCGAUGAGGUUUGGUGCUUGCACCAUUUUGGAUAGCGGCGGACGGGUGAGUAACACGUGGGUAACCUGCCUUUAAGCGGGGGACAACAUCGGGAAACGAGUGCUAAUACCGCAUAACAUCUUGAAACGUAAGGUUCAAGAGUGAAAGGUGCAAUUGCAUCACCUAAAGAUGAUCUCGCGUUGUAUUAGCUAGGUGGGGAGGGUAAGGCCCACCAAGGGGAUGAUACCUAACCGACCCGAAGGGGUGAUCCGCCCCCUUUGGACUGGGAACAGGCCCCAACUCCCUCGGGGGGCAGCCGUAGGGGAUCUUUGGCAAAUGGCGGAAGUCUGAACGGGGCACGCCGCGUUAGUGGAGAAGGGUCUCCGAUCGUAAAAAUCUGUUGGUAGGGAAGAAAGUUGGUGAGAGUGGACAGCUCAUAAAGUGACGGUACCUGCUCAGAAAGGGACGGCUAACUACGUG
rnacentral:rRNA from 1 species